GAUGAACGCUGGCGGCGUGCCUAAUACAUGCAAGUCGAGCGAAUGGAUUAAGAGCUUGCUCUUAUGAAGUUAGCGGCGGACGGGUGAGUAACACGUGGGUAACCCGCCCAUAAGACUGGGAUAACUCCGGGAAACCGGGGCUAAUACCGGAUAACAUUUUGAACCGCAUGGUUCGAAAUUGAAAGGCGGCUUCGGCUGUCACUUAUGGAUGGACCCGCGUCGCAUUAGCUAGUUGGUGAGGUAACGGCUCACCAAGGCAACGAUGCGUAGCCGACCUGAGAGGGUGAUCGGCCAGACUGGGACGGAGAAAGGGACCAGACUCCUCCGGGAGGCAGCAGUAGGGAAUCUUCCGCAAGGGACGAAAGUCUGACGGAGCAACGCCGCGUGGGUGAUGAAGGCUUUCGGGUCGUAAAACGCUGUUGUUAGGGAAGAACAAGUGCUAGUUGAAUAAGCUGGCACCUUGACGGUACCUAACCAGAAAGCCACGGCUAACUAUGUGCCAGCCGCCGCAGUAA
rnacentral:rRNA from 1 species